ensembl:snRNA U6 U6 spliceosomal RNA
GUGCUCACUUCAGCAGGACAAACAAUAAAACUAGAAGGAUACAGAGAUGAUUAGCAUGGCCUCUGCACAAGGAUGACUCUGCACAAGGAUGACAUACGAAUUUAU